UCUGGUCUUUUACCUCUCCCUGG
rnacentral:miRNA from 1 species